rnacentral:rRNA from 1 species
ACGCACGCUGGCGGCGUGCUUAACACAUGCAAGUCGAACGGAAAGGCCCUGCUUUUGUGGGGUGCUCGAGUGGCGAACGGGUGAGUAACACGUGAGUAACCUGCCCUUGACUUUGGGAUAACUUCAGGAAACUGGGGCUAAUACCGGAUAGGAGCUCCUGCUGCAUGGUGGGGGUUGGAAAGUUUCGGCGGUUGGGGAUGGACUCGCGGCUUAUUAGCUUGUUGGUGGGGUAGUGGCUUACCAAGGCUUUGACGGGUAGCCGGCCUGAGAGGGUGACCGGCCACAUUGGGACUGAGAUACGGCCCAGACUCCUACGGGAGGCAGCAGUGGGGAAUAUUGCACAAUGGGCGGAAGCCUGAUGCAGCAACGCCGCGUGCGGGAUGACGGCCUUCGGGUUGUAAACCGCUUUCGCCUGUGACGAAGCGUGAGUGACGGUAAUGGGUAAAGAAGCACCGGCUAACUACGUG